UUUUAGUAAUAUGCUGCAUGGUGAGAAGGGCAGAGGAAAUGCAAGGGCUUUGGAGUGUGUGGGGAAGCUGUAUGCCUUGCUUGUCUGGAAGCCCAUCCCUUCCCUGCUACCCGCUGCAGAUCUAGUAUUUCACUGGCAGCACUGGACGCUCCCAGACUCACUAAUGCUGUGAGUGAGCACGAAGCCAGCGUUGCAAACAUAGUUAUUUAUUUUGACCCAAUGACUCUGAGAAAUGACAUAUGUGAGAUCUGCAUUCAUUGUCUCUUAUGAAUUCCAGCCCACGUUUGGAGGUCUUUUGAGCAUCAGAAAGACACACGCCUUUGCAGUUU